rnacentral:rRNA from 1 species
UACGGAGGGUGCGAGCGUUGUCCGGAAUCACUGGGCGUAAAGGGCGCGUAGGUGGCGCGGGCAGUCAACGGUGAAAGUUCGGGGCUCAACCCUGAAUCGGCCGUCGAUACUCCCGGGCUUGAGCACUGUAGAGGCAGAUGGAAUUCCGGGUGUAGCGGCGGAAUGCGUAGAGAUCCGGAAGAACACCGGUGGCGAAGGCGGUCUGCUGGGCAGUAGCUGACGCUGAGGAGCGAAAGCGUGGGGAGCGAACAGG